UUAACAUUAAAAAACAGAGGAUAAAACUGAGAAAUGGUACCACAAGAAUAAGACUAAGUUCUGAAAGGAAAAACAUUAAAUAAGGUGAGCCACAGGGUUUGGUUCUUGGCCCACUCCACUUCUCAACCUAAAUAUAUGAUUUACCUGGGACACUGGGCUACUCUUCAAAGACUAUGGUAUUUGCUGAUGGGGUUAAAAUACCAGCAAGACACCCAAACACAUCCAUAUGAUGCACAGCUAUGAGAAUCAUGGAACAAGUUUACAACUAACGGAUCCAUAGCAAAUAAUUAAACCCUUAAUCUGGUGAAAACCCAUACAACGCAAUUCCAAACAAAGAAAAAUGGCGUACAAGUACUGGAAGUAGUGAUGAAUGGACAUACAAUGGAUGUGGCUCCAUGUGUGAAACUACUGGGCAUCUAAUAAACUGAGGUGGCACCAGCACAUGGAUAAGGUGACUGUUGAUACCAAUGGAAGUGAACUUGAACUGCUGUCAAAGGUACCACAUAGUGUGAAAGACACCCAACAAAAAGAUAAAACUUCAUUAUGUAAAGGUAUGAUCCUUGUUUCAGUGAGGAAGAAACUGGCUUUACUUCACGACAGAGAGCAUUCAUUGUCAUUAAAUACAUUACAUGUGUCAGUUAUGCAGUGAAUCAAAAUGUCUUCACAGAAAACUACAGUAACCAUGCAUCUAAGUUCACCAUCUGGUGGCAAUAUGAAAAGUUUCAAAAGAAAGGAAAUGUGGCAAACAUUGCCAAAAUCAGUUGACAUCAGAAAAGUUGAUCUGUGUGUAAGCUGCAUAUUCAUCAAGUUCUAUGAAGUCUGUGCAGCACCUAUCUAGGCAGUCUGGUCUCACCAUUGGUAGUGCACACAAAUGUGAGCAAGUGCAUAAGCAUCCAUUCAAACAGAACACAUACUGUUCAUGAGUGGCUACCUGUCAUUAGUUCAUUUGGU